GGAGCCCUGGCGGGCACUUCCGACCGUACGAGGCGCAGGUGGGAGACUUCCGCCCUCGCGGGACUGGCUAGGGCGUUUGACCGCCGGCGGUGAAGGGGAGGCGGUGGGCGUCUUGGAGAACAGAGCGAGAUGGAGAAGCGAGGCCGAGGCGUGAAGUCGAGCCCCAUCCAGACCCCGAACCAGACCCCUCAGCAGGCUCCGGUGACGCCUAGGAAAGAAAGGAGGCCUAGCAUGUUCGAGAAGGAGGCAGUGAGUGCGGAGACUGCUAGGGGCCCGAGACGGCUAUGUCCGACCGUUUAAUUGAAAUCGCUCCCCAGUGGGCCCCGCUCCCGUCACCACCCCCAGAGCCAAGGAGGCAGCAUUUCCCUUUUGUGUUUCUUUUUUCCCCAGAUGCGAAAUUGAAGCCUGAGACUGAGUUGGGUAGUCCCCUUUGGACUUGAGUGCUAAAGUUUUCUCGUUUUUUAAUUAGGGCCAUAGAACCCUACAUAAGUCUAUUGGAAGGGUGGUUACAAGAUCUUCUUUUCAAAUUUACUCAGCUUGCGGAUUUCCUGAGAGUACUCUGAGUAUUAUUGCUUUGUACUAAAACACAGUAUGUUAGUGUAUUUAGUGCCAUUAUAAGCAGUUUUGCUAGCGAAAAAUGAGUGUGUGUUGUAUUAAAAAAAUAAUUUGAUAAACCAGGCAGAAUAGUGCCAUGUUUUGGGUUUUUAAAACAUCAGCAGUCUGGAUAUUUGAAGAAUGUACAGGAGAAAAAAACUUAAGUUGAAAAUACCCUGUCCAAAACUUACUGAUAUUGAUGGAAAGGGUCAUUAUUCAGUUUUAUUGGUGGUAUAACAGGUAUUUCUAUAUGAUUAGGCUUUGAAAACCGUUAAUGUAUUAAAGACUCUAUAUUUUAUUGAUACUUUAACAGAAAAUUAGUUUGCCCAAGGAUACAAAGCUGUAAUGAUAGAGCUGGGACCAGAACCUGUAUGCUAGUACUCGGUCCAGUUGGCCUAUACUGGUUUCUCUUCGUACUUACUUCGUGGACCUAUAAUAGGAUGAAGAUAGAGAUGACAGGCAAAACAAUUUUUUGAAGACCCUAAAACAUUUUAAGAUUACUCUUAAAAAGAGAAUUCUCAAAAUAAUGGCGAAAUUUCAGGUUCUUGUUUCCCUGGUGUCUACAUUUUACAGAGGAAAGAACGAACUAAAUAAAGGAGGAAAAGUAAACAGGCCAAGUUUACACAGCUAAGAAAAAGAGCAGAGCAGGGCUAGAAACCUAAAUCAGUUGGACUUAAAACUUCACACUCCCAAACACUAUGCUGUAUUUCUUGGCAAUGAGUCUGAGUAACAGAUAGGUCACCAACAGUAAAGAAAAAUUUCUAUAUAUUGAGGCAGACAAGGGUGGCUUUUAUAAACUUACUGCCUAUCUGAGGUCUGAAGUGGUCUUUAAAAUUCAAUGAGCCUGAACUCAAAAUGAGGAGACACAUAGGUGCACCUGGUAUAUAGGUUAAAAUCUGGGAGUGAGGGGACAUGGACCAAAGUAAUUAUUAGUAUUUGAUAUGGAUGUGAUCAAUUAUAGCUAUCUUUAAAGUUGAUUCUUUUAGAGGUGAGAAAUUUGAAUAGAACAAUAAUUGGGAAGAAGUUGAGAAAGGACUCUACAAAUGCUCACUAAAUGUACCUGAGGAAACUGUUCACUUAGUUAUUUCUAAUUUAAGGUAGCUGUUAAUUUCCCUAUUUGGGAGCAUAGGAAAAUUUAAGACAUACCGUUUCAUCAAUAUGACCAUCUCUUGAUUUUAUCUGUCUUGCCUCCAUUUCUUUUUUUCUAGUGGUAGCACCUCAGUUAACUUUUAGAGAAUUAACUCAUCUGCAAUUGUAUAGAGCUUUGGUGAGAUUGUCAGCUACUUCCCUUAACUUUUUAAUGAGGAUGAGACCCAAACUAAGCUAAUUAGAUGAAUUCUUUGAAAUAAUGCAAAGAAAAUGAUUGAGGUUUAUUCACAUUGAAGAUGAGAAGCUAAAGUGUUCCCUGUGUCUUUCUGAAUCUGGUUCAUCAGCCUUCUCUGCUGUUAUGUAAACUGUAUCUUUCCAAUAAAUUAUACUUUGGCUUAACA
rnacentral:sRNA from 1 species